UGUGUUUUUGGAAAAGGUGUUUAAGGUAUU
rnacentral:piRNA from 1 species